CUACCCAUAAGAGAAUUCAUACUGGAGAGAAUUCUUACAUAUGUGAAGAAUGUGGCAAAGCCUUUAACCAAACAUCAAACCUUAUUAUACAUAAGAAGACUCAUACUGGAGAGAAACCCUAUAAAUGUGAAGAAUUGUGGCAAAACUUUUAACCAAUCCUCAACCCUUACUACCCAUAAGAGAAUUCAUGCUGGAGAGAAACCCUACAAAUAUAAAGAAUGUGGAAAAGCUUUUAAGCAAUCCUCAGAACUUACUAUCCAUAAGAGAAUUCAUACUGGAGAGAAACCCUACAAAUGUGAAGAAUGUGGCAAAACUUUUAACCAGUACUCAAGCCUUUCUAGACAUGAGAAAAUUCAUACUGAAGAGAAACGUUACAAAUGUGACGUUAUAAUGUG